UGGGGAAUAUUGCACAAUGGGCGCAAGCCUGAUGCAGCCAUGCCGCGUGUGUGAAGAACGCCUUCGGGUUGUAAAGCACUUUCAGCGGGGAGGAAGGCGAUAAGGUUAAUAACCUCAUCGAUUGACGUUACCCGCAGAAGAAGCACCGGCUAACUCCGUGCCAGCAGCCGCGGUAAUACGGAGGGUGCAAGCGUUAAUCGGAAUUACUGGGCGUAAAGCGCACGCAGGCGGUCUGUCAAGUCGGAUGUGAAAUCCCCGGGCUCAACCUGGGAACUGCAUUCGAAACUGGCAGGCUAGAGGCUUGUAGAGGGGGGUAGAAUUCCAGGUGUAGCGGUGAAAUGCGUAGAGAUCUGGGGGAAUACCGGUGGCGAAGGCGGCCCCCUGGACAAAGACUGACGCUCAGGUGCGAAAGCGUGGGGAGCAAACAGG
rnacentral:rRNA from 1 species